rnacentral:rRNA from 1 species
GAUGAACGCUGGCGGCGUGCCUAAUACAUGCAAGUCGAGCGAACGGACGAGAAGCUUGCUUCUCUGAUGUUAGCGGCGGACGGGUGAGUAACACGUGGAUAACCUACCUAUAAGACUGGGAUAACUUCGGGAAACCGGAGCUAAUACCGGAUAAUAUUUUGAACCGCAUGGUUCAAAAGUGAAAGACGGUCUUGCUGUCACUUAUAGAUGGAUCCGCGCUGCAUUAGCUAGUUGGUAAGGUAACGGCUUACCAAGGCAACGAUGCAUAGCCGACCUGAGAGGGUGAUCGGCCACACUGGAGCUGAGACACGGUCCAGACUCCUACGGGAGGCAGCAGUAGGGAAUCUUCCGCAAUGGUCGAAAGCCUGACGGAGCAACGCCGCGUGAGUGAUGAAGGUCUUCGGAUCGUAAAACUCUGUUAUUAGGGAAGAACAUAUGUGUAAGUAACUGUGCACAUCUUGACGGUACCUAAUCAGAAAGCCACGGCUAACUACGUG